UCAGAUUGAACGCUGGCGGCAGGCCUAACACAUGCAAGUCGAACGGUAACAGAAAGCAGCUUGCUGCUUUGCUGACGAGUGGCGGACGGGUGAGUAAUGUCUGGGAAACUGCCUGAUGGAGGGGGAUAACUACUGGAAACGGUAGCUAAUACCGCAUAACGUCGCAAGACCAAAGAGGGGGACCUUCGGGCCUCUUGCCAUCGGAUGUGCCCAGAUGGGAUUAGCUUGUUGGUGGGGUAACGGCUCACCAAGGCGACGAUCUCUAGCUGGUCUGAGAGGAUGACCAGCCACACUGGAACUGAGACACGGUCCAGACUCCUACGGGAGGCAGCAGUGGGGAAUAUUGCACAAUGGGCGCAAGCCUGAUGCAGCCAUGCCGCGUGUAUGAAGAAGGCCUUCGGGUUGUAAAGUACUUUCAGCGGGGAGGAAGGGAGUAAAGUUAAUACCUUUGCUCAUUGACGUUACCCGCAGAAGAAGCACCGGCUAACUCCGUGCCAGCAGCCGCGGU
rnacentral:rRNA from 1 species